UAUUUUGCACAAUGACUCACUUUCAAAAUAUUUUAGGCAAACGACCUCUUUAUCUUUAAAAAAACGUUUCUAAACUUUCUAUUACACAUUUUCCCUUUUUUCUUAAGUUACAGAAACUAAAAAAAAAAGCCCUAAACGAUAUUGCACUUUCUUCUUCCUCUCCUUCACACAGUCGGCCUCCACACCAGAAAACCAGAAACUCAACCCGGACACCGUCGUUCUCCAUUCCUCUCCUUCACAGUCAGCUGGAGGUACGACGCCACCGCAUCUCGCGCAAACCAGAACACCCAGAACUCUGCGUCUCGCGCGACCUAGACUGCCGCAUCUCCGGCUAUCUCACGCCCAAACCCAGCAACUCCAGCCAUCUCGAGCUACCAUCUGACCCUGCAGCUCCUUUUCUGUCUCAGCUCACGUUUAUGAUUCAUAGGUCGAAAAAGACUUGCUGAGAUGAGGUUAAAAUGAAGUUUUAGGAGCAUUCCAGGCUUUCGGGAUUAAAGUGGUGAAGUGGCGGCAGCGUACAAGCCCUCUAAGUUCGAGAAUUGAAGAUAGGUCGCGACCCAUAAAAUUCAGGCUGCGUCACUUUAAUUGAAAUUGAUGUUUCUGAUUGCAUGUUCCAGUCAGGCCGCUGCCUGCUGUGCAGAAAAGUGAAGUUGGGCCGUUGCCCAGAUUUUUCAGGCCGCAACUUGCGUGACUAAUUUUGCCUAUAUUCUGUUUUAGGCCGUGACACGCAGAAAUUCAAGUCGCGGCCUGCGACGCUAUUUUUAGAUUUUUAAUUAGAUUUUAAAUGUAAUUUAAAUGAGACUAUAAAAGAUUAUUAGAGUUAAUUGGAGAUUAAAUUUUUAUUACGGUUUUUUUAGAGAAAAAGACUCAGAAAGGGCUGGAGAGAAGACUACAAUAUUACAACACUAUUGUUUAUCAAUCUAGUUUUUUUUCUUCCCUUAA